rnacentral:snRNA from 1 species
GUGCUCGCUUCGGCGGCACAUAUACUAAAAUUGGAACAGAAAAAGAGA